rnacentral:rRNA from 1 species
GAUGAACGCUGGCGGCGUGCCUAAUACAUGCAAGUCGAGCGAACGGACGAGAAGCUUGCUUCUCUGAUGUUAGCGGCGGACGGGUGAGUAACACGUGGAUAACCUACCUAUAAGACUGGGAUAACUUCGGGAAACCGGAGCUAAUACCGGAUGAUAUUUUGAACCGCAUGGUUCAAAAGUGAAAGACGGUCUUGCUGUCACUUAUAGAUGGAUCCGCGCUGCAUUAGCUAGUUGGUAAGGUAACGGCUUACCAAGGCAACGAUGCAUAGCCGACCUGAGGGGGUGAUCGCCCACACUGGAACUGAGACACGGUCCAGACUCCUACGGGAGUCAGCAGUAGGGAAUCUUCCGCAAUGGGCGAAAGCCUGACGGAGCAACGCCGCGCGAGUGAUGAAGGUCUUCGGAUCGUAAAACUCUGUUAUUAGGGAAGAACAUAUGUGUAAGUAACUGUGCACAUCUUGACGGUACCUAAUCAGAAAGCCACGGCUAACUACGUG